UAGGGAAUCUUCGGCAAUGGACGAAAGUCUGACCGAGCAACGCCGCGUGAGUGAAGAAGGUUUUCGGAUCGUAAAACUCUGUUGUUAGAGAAGAACAAGGACGUUAGUAACUGAACGUCCUCUGACGGUAUCUAACCAGAAAGCCACGGCUAACUACGUGCCAGCAGCCGCGGUAAUACGUAGGUGGCAAGCGUUGUCCGGAUUUAUUGGGCGUAAAGCGAGCGCAGGCGGUUUCUUAAGUCUGAUGUGAAAGCCCCCGGCUCAACCGGGGAGGGUCAUUGGAAACUGGGAGACUUGAGUGCAGAAGAGGAGAGUGGAAUUCCAGGUGUAGCGGUGAGAUGCGUAGAUAUAUGGAGGAACACCAGUGGCGAAGGCGGCUCUCUGGUCUGUAACUGACGCUGAGGCUCGAAAGCGUGGGGAGCAAACAGG
rnacentral:rRNA from 1 species